CCUACGGGGGGCAGCAGUGAGGAAUAUUGGUCAAUGGACGAGAGUCUGAACCAGCCAAGUAGCGUGAAGGAUGACUGCCCUAUGGGUUGUAAACUUCUUUUAUAUGGGAAUAAAACGUUCCACGUGUGGGAUUUUGUAUGUACCAUAUGAAUAAGGAUCGGCUAACUCCGUGCCAGCAGCCGCGGUAAUACGGAGGAUCCGAGCGUUAUCCGGCUUUAUUGGGUUUAAAGGGAGCGUAGGUGGAUUGUUAAGUCAGUUGUGAAAGUUUGCGGCUCAACCGUAAAAUUGCAGUUGAAACUGGCAGUCUUGAGUACAGUAGAGGUGGGCGGAAUUCGUGGUGUAGCGGUGAAAUGCUUAGAUAUCACGAAGAACUCCGAUUGCGAAGGCAGUUCACUGGACUGCAACUGACGCUGAGGCUCGAAAGUGCGGGUAUCAAACAGGAUUAGAUACCCUUGUAGUC
rnacentral:rRNA from 1 species